rnacentral:rRNA from 1 species
GGCUAACCUGCCCUUAGGAUGGGAACAACCCCGGGAAACUGGGGCUAAUUCCCGAUAGGUGAGGAACUCUGGAAUGAGUCUUUGCCCAAAAGGUGUCGGAUCAUGCUUUCGGCAUCGCCUAAGGAUGGGGCCGCGACCGAUCAGGUUGUUGGUGAGGUAAUGGCCCACCAAGCCUAUAACCGGUGCGGGCCGUGAGAGCGGGAGCCCGGAGAUGGGCACUGAGACAAGGGCCCAGGUCCUACGGGGCGCAGCAGUCGCGAAACCUUUGCAAUACACGAAAGUGUGACAGGGUCAUCCCGAGCGCCGACCGCUGAGGUUGGCUUUUACCCAGUCUAGAAAGCUGGGGGAAUAAGGAGAGGGCAAGUCUGGUGUCAGCCGCCGCGGUAAUACCAGCUCUCCGAGUGGUGUGGACGUUUAUUGGGCCUAAAGCAUCCGUAGCUGGCUGAACAAGUCCCCUGUUAAACCCACCGAUUUAAUCGUUGGUCUGCGGGGGAUACUGCUCGGCUAGGGGACGAGAGAGGCAGACGGUAUUCCCGGGGUAGGGGUGAAAUCCUAUAAUCCCGAGAAGACCACCAGUGGCGAAGGCUGUCUGCUAGAACGCGCCCGACGGUGAGGGAUGAAAGCUGGGGGAGCGAACCGGAUUAGAUACCCGGGUAGUCCCAGCUGUAAACGAUGCAGACUAGGUGUUUGGACGGCCACGUGCCGUUCUAGUGCCGCAGGGAAGCUGUUAAGUCUGCCGCCUGGGGAGUACGAUCGCAAGAUUGAAACU